rnacentral:rRNA from 1 species
GAGGAAUAUUGGUCAAUGGGCGGGAGCCUGAACCAGCCAAGUAGCGUGCAGGAUGACGGCCCUAUGGGUUGUAAACUGCUUUUGUAUGGGGAUAAAGUCAAUCACGUGUGAUUGUUUGCAGGUACCAUACGAAUAAGGACCGGCUAAUUCCGUGCCAGCAGCCGCGGUAAUACGGAAGGUCCGGGCGUUAUCCGGAUUUAUUGGGUUUAAAGGGAGCGUAGGCCGGAGAUUAAGUGUGUUGUGAAAUGUAGACGCUCAACGUCUGACUUGCAGCGCAUACUGGUUUCCUUGAGUACGCACAACGUUGGCGGAAUUCGUCGUGUAGCGGUGAAAUGCUUAGAUAUGACGAAGAACUCCGAUUGCGAAGGCAGCUGACGGGAGCGCAACUGACGCUUAAGCUCGAAGGUGCGGGUAUCGAACAGGAUUAGAUACCCUGGUAGUCCGCACAGUAAACGAUGGAUGCCCGCUGUUGGUACCUGGUAUCAGCGGCUAAGCGAAAGCAUUAAGCAUCCCACCUGGGGAGUACGCCGGCAACGGUG